ACCACGCUGUGCACAGCAUUGAAGAAGAUCGGAAGAGCAGAUAUUGCAGAAUUUCUUCGUCGCGGUAUGUCACAUGCCCAGGAGACCGCUAAAUCAGGUCCUGAUCAUCUAAAGAUUUGCCAGCAGCUGCUUUUCAGUUUCUACGAAGCCCAUGCAAGUAAAAUCCCAGAGCUCGUGUCUUCUUCCGUGUUACCGGCGUUGGGUGUUGA